GAUCCUAGCUUGCUAGGAGGCGUCGAGCGGCGGACGGGUGAGUAAUGCAUAGGAAUCUGCCCGGUAGUGGGGGAUAACCUGGGGAAACCCAGGCUAAUACCGCAUACGCCCUACGGGGGAAAGCAGGGGAUCUUCGGACCUUGCGCUAUCGGAUGAGCCUAUGUCGGAUUAGCUAGUUGGUGAGGUAACGGCUCACCAAGGCUGCGAUCCGUAGCUGGUCUGAGAGGAUGAUCAGCCACAUCGGGACUGAGACACGGCCCGAACUCCUACGGGAGGCAGCAGUGGGGAAUAUUGGACAAUGGGCGAAAGCCUGAUCCAGCCAUGCCGCGUGUGUGAAGAAGGCCUUCGGGUUGUAAAGCACUUUCAGUGAGGAAGAAAGCCUUGAGGUUAAUACCCUCGAGGGAGGACAUCACUCACAGAAGAAGCACCGGCUAACUCCGUGCCAGCAGCCGCGGUAAUACGGAGGGUGCGAGCGUUAAUCGGAAUUACUGGGCGUAAAGCGCGCGUAGGCGGCUUGAUAAGCCGGUUGUGAAAGCCCCGGGCUCAACCUGGGAACGGCAUCCGGAACUGUCAGGCUAGAGUGCAGGAGAGGAAGGUAGAAUUCCCGGUGUAGCGGUGAAAUGCGUAGAGAUCGGGAGGAAUACCAGUGGCGAAGGCGGCCUUCUGGACUGACACUGACGCUGAGGUGCGAAAGCGUGGGUAGCAAACAGGAUUAGAUACCCUGGUAGUCCACGCCGUAAACGAUGUCGACUAGCCGUUGGGCUCCUUGAGAGCUUUGUGGCGCAGUUAACGCGAUAAGUCGACCGCCUGGGGAGUACGGCCGCAAGGUUAAAACUCAAAUGAAUUGACGGGGG
rnacentral:rRNA from 1 species